rnacentral:rRNA from 1 species
AACGAACGCUGGCGGCAUGCCUAACACAUGCAAGUCGAACGAGACCUCCGGGUCUAGUGGCGCACGGGUGCGUAACGCGUGGGAACCUGCCCUUAGGUUCGGAAUAACUCCCCGAAAGGGGUGCUAAUACCGGAUAAUGUCUUCGGACCAAAGAUUUAUCGCCUUUGGCUGGGCCCGCGUUGGAUUAGCUAGUUGGUAGGGUAAAAGCCUACCAAGGCGACGAUCCAUAGCUGGUCUGAGAGGAUGAUCAGCCACACUGGGACUGAGACACGGCCCAGACUCCUACGGGAGGCAGCAGUGGGGAAUAUUGGACAAUGGGCGAAAGCCUGAUCCAGCAAUGCCGCGUGAGUGAUGAAGGCCUUAGGGUUGUAAAGCUCUUUUACCCGGGAUGAUAAUGACAGUACCGGGUGAAUAAGCUCCGGCUAACUCCGUG